rnacentral:rRNA from 1 species
GCUGGCGGCAUGCCUUACACAUGCAGUCGAACGGUAGAGUAGCAAUACUCGAGAGUGGCGAACGGGUGAGUAAUAUAUCGGAACGUGCCCAGUCGUGGGGGAUAACGUAGAGAAAUUUACGCUAAUACCGCAUACGAUCUACGGAUGAAAGCGGGGGACUCGCAAGAGCCUCGCGCGAUUGGAGCGGCUGAUAUCAGAUUAGGUUGUUGGUGAGGUAAAAGCUCACCAAGCCGACGAUCUGUAGCUGGUUUGAGAGAACGACCAGCCACACUGGGACUGAGACACGGCCCAGACUCCUACGGGAGGCAGCAGUGGGGAAUUUUGGACAAUGGGCGAAAGCCUGAUCCAGCAAUGCCGCGUGUGGGAAGAAGGCCUUCGGGUUGUAAACCACUUUUGUACGGAACGAAAAGGUCUGCCCUAAUACGGUGGGCCCAUGACGGUACCGUAAGAAUAAGCACCGGCUAACUACGUGCCAGCAGCCGCGGUAAUACGUAUGGUGCGAGCGUUAAUCGGAAUUACUGGGCGUAAAGCGUGCGCAGGCGGUUAUAUAAGACAGUUGUGAAAUCCCCGGGCUCAACCUGGGAAUUGCAUCUGUGACUGUAUAGCUAGAGUACGGUAGAGGGGGAUGGAAUUCCGCGUGUAGCAGUGAAAUGCGUAGAUAUGCGGAGGAACACCGAUGGCGAAGGCAAUCCCCUGGACCUGUACUGACGCUCAUGCACGAAAGCGUGGGGAGCAAACAGGAUUAGAUACCCUGGUAGUCCACGCCCUAAACGAUGUCAACUGGUUGUUGGGUGCAUUAGUACUCAGUAACGAAGCUAACGCGUGAAGUUGACCGCCUGGGGAGUACGGCCGCAAGGUUGAAACUUAAAUGAAUUGACGG